CACUCCUGCGGGAGGCAGCAGUGGGGAAUUUUGGACAAUGGGCGAAAGCCUGAUCCAGCAAUGCCGCGUGAGUGAAGAAGGCCUUCGGGUUGUAAAGCUCUUUUGUCAGGGAAGAAACGGUGAAAGCUAAUAUCUUUUGCUAAUGACGGUACCUGAAGAAUAAGCACCGGCUAACUACGUGCCAGCAGCCGCGGUAAUACGUAGGGUGCAAGCGUUAAUCGGAAUUACUGGGCGUAAAGCGUGCGCAGGCGGUUUUGUAAGUCUGAUGUGAAAUCCCCGGGCUCAACCUGGGAAUUGCAUUGGAGACUGCAAGGCUAGAAUCUGGCAGAGGGGGGUAGAAUUCCACGUGUAGCAGUGAAAUGCGUAGAUAUGUGGAGGAACACCGAUGGCGAAGGCAGCCCCCUGGGUCAAGAUUGACGCUCAUGCACGAAAGCGUGGGGAGCAAACAGGAUUAGAUACCCGUGUAGUCCCA
rnacentral:rRNA from 1 species